rnacentral:rRNA from 1 species
ACGAACGCUGGCGGCGUGCUUAACACAUGCAAGUCGAACGGAAAGGCCCUGCUUUUGUGGGGUGCUCGAGUGGCGAACGGGUGAGUAACACGUGAGUAACCUGCCCCUUACUUUGGGAUAACUUCAGGAAACUGGGGCUAAUACCGGAUAGGAGCUCCUGCUGCAUGGUGGGGGGUGGAAAGGUUCGGCGGUUGGGGAUGGACUCGCGGCUUAUCAGCUUGUUGGUGGGGUAGUGGCUUACCAAGGCUUUGACGGGUAGCCGGCCUGAGAGGGUGACCGGCCACAUUGGGACUGAGAUACGGCCCAGACUCCUACGGGAGGCAGCAGUGGGGAAUAUUGCACAAUGGGCGGAAGCCUGAUGCAGCAACGCCGCGUGCGGGAUGACGGCCUUCGGGUUGUAAACCGCUUUCGCCUGUGACGAAGCGUGAGUGACGGUAAUGGGUAAAGAAGCACCGGCUAACUACGUG